rnacentral:lncRNA from 1 species
UAAAUUUAUUAAUAUUAUUAUAUGGACAAAGUCCAGUUACACACAACCAAGACAAAGGCCCAAUCGAUAAAUUUAACAGGGCCACCAAAAAACAUACAACUAGAAACUAAAUGGGCUAAGCCCACCAAACCAAAGUCUAAGUCGAACAUAUCGACACAUCGCCUACGUGUGUUUAACCUCACAGCGAGGAUAACACGUGCCACCAAACCGCUUUACCUUCUCCAACACCGGAGAACCACGAUUCACAUCAUCGGAAUCACAUCGGAGACUGCCUCCAUCUUCCACGGUCGUGGUCUUUUCAAAGGAGAGCAUCCAUCGAUCACAUCGAAAUCUCAUCCAGAGUCACCAACCGCUUGAUUACGAACACCCAGAACCUCCAUCUCGUUUUCUUCAUCGCUUUGUCUUCAACGUCAGAGAGUUUCAUCGAUCUAUUCGAGAACUCAUCCAACAGACCAAAGCCGACAAACAGAGGAAACCACAAACCAAAGUAAAAAUCACACCCGAUUCAAAUCGGGACCAAACCCCAACUGAUCAAAAGCCGGCAACGAGGAGCUUUAACAGCCUCCUCCCUCCAGAGUCAUAAGCCGGAGACGACGGAGCUGAGAAAGCCUCCACCUCCCGGAAUCAAAGGGUCAAACUGAUGAAAGGAAAUAAGUUUCCUUUCUUUCCAAAACACAUGCAGAAGAAAAUAAAAAACACAAAGCCGGACCGACGGUGGCUAGGUUAGCCGAGCCCGCCGGCCGGAAACGCAAGUCUCACAAACGGAGUUCUAGUACAUAAGGUUAAAAAAAAUAUAUAUAUAAAAAAAAAAUAUCUUUAGUCAAUACGUAGUAUUAGUUUCCGUAAUCAAACGAGGGUUGUGACAACUGACAACUGAUGCACACAAAUUAUAGAGUAUGAAUGGGGAAUGAAUAAAAAGUGGAGGAUCUGUCUCAACUCUCAAGU